UGGGGAAUCUUGCGCAAUGGGCGAAAGCCUGACGCAGCCAUGCCGCGUGAAUGAUGAAGGUCUUAGGAUUGUAAAAUUCUUUCAGUAGGGACGAUAAUGACGGUACCUACAGAAGAAGCCCCGGCUAACUUCGUGCCAGCAGCCGCGGUAAUACGAAGGGGGCUAGCGUUGCUCGGAAUUACUGGGCGUAAAGGGAGCGUAGGCGGACAUUUAAGUCAGGGGUGAAAUCCCAGAGCUCAACUCUGGAACUGCCUUUGAUACUGGGUGUCUUGAGUGUGAUAGAGGUAUGUGGAACUCCGAGUGUAGAGGUGAAAUUCGUAGAUAUUCGGAAGAACACCAGUGGCGAAGGCGACAUACUGGAUCAUUACUGACGCUGAGGCUCGAAAGCGUGGGGAGCAAACAG
rnacentral:rRNA from 1 species